rnacentral:rRNA from 1 species
UGGGGAAUAUUGGACAAUGGGGGAAACCCUGAUCCAGCGACGCCGCGUGUGUGAAGAAGGCCUGCGGGUUGUAAAGCACUUUUAGUGGGGAGGAAAACACCUGACCUAACACGUCGGGAAUUGACUUAACCCAAAGAAAAAGCACCGGCUAACUCUGUGCCAGCAGCCGCGGUAAUACAGAGGGUGCAAGCGUUAAUCGGAAUUACUGGGCGUAAAGCGUGCGUAGACGGUUUGUUAAGUCGGAUGUGAAAUCCCCGGGCUCAACCUGGGAAUUGCAUUCGAGACUGCCAAGCUAGGGUACGGAAGAGGGAAGCGGAAUUUCCGGUGUAGCGGUGAAAUGCGUAGAUAUCGGAAGGAACAUCAGUGGCGAAAGCGGCUUCCUGGUCCAGUACCGACGUUC